rnacentral:rRNA from 1 species
GCGGAGGGAUCAUUGCUGGAACGCGCCCCUGGCGCACCCAGAAACCCUUUGUGAACUUAUACCUUACUGUUGCCUCGGCGCAGGCCGUCCCCUAAUGGGGUCCCUCUGGAGACAGAGGAGCAGCCGGCCGGUGGCCAAGUUAACUCUGUUUUUACACUGAAACUCUGAGUACAAAACAUAAAUGAAUCAAAACUUUCAACAACGGAUCUCUUGGUUCUGGCAUCGAUGAAGAACGCAGCGAAAUGCGAUAAGUAAUGUGAAUUGCAGAAUUCAGUGAAUCAUCGAAUCUUUGAACGCACAUUGCGCCCUCUGGUAUUCCGGAGGGCAUGCCUGUUCGAGCGUCAUUUCAACCCUCAAGCCUGGCUUGGUGUUGGGGCACUGCUUUACCCACAAGCAGGCCCUGAAAUAUAGUGGCGAGCUCGCCAGGACUCCGAGCGCAGUAAUUAUUCUCGCUUUGGAAGGCCUGGCGGUGCCCUGCCGUUAAACCCCAACUUUUGAAAAUUUGACCUCGGAUCAGGG